UACGGGAGGCAGCAGUGGGGAAUAUUGCACAAUGGGCGCAAGCCUGAUGCAGCCAUGCCGCGUGUAUGAAGAAGGCCUUCGGGUUGUAAAGUACUUUCAGCGGGGAGGAAGGCGAUGCGGUUAAUAACCGCGUCGAUUGACGUUACCCGCAGAAGAAGCACCGGCUAACUCCGUGCCAGCAGCCGCGGUAAUACGGAGGGUGCAAGCGUUAAUCGGAAUUACUGGGCGUAAAGCGCACGCAGGCGGUCUGUUAAGUCAGAUGUGAAAUCCCCGGGCUUAACCUGGGAACUGCAUUUUGAACUGGCAGGCUUGAGUCUUGUAGAGGGGGUAGAAUUCCAGGUGUAGCGGUGAAAUGCGUAGAGAUCUGGAGGAAUACCGGUGGCGAAGGCGGCCCCUGGGACAAGACUGACGCUCAGGUGCGAAAGCGUGGGGAGCAAACGAGGAUUAGGAU
rnacentral:rRNA from 1 species